UACGUAGGGGGCAAGCGUUGUCCGGAAUCAUUGGGCGUAAAGCGCGCGUAGGCGGCCCGGUAAGUCCGCUGUAAAAGUCCAGGGCUCAACCCUGGAAAGCCGGUGGAUACUGUCGGGCUAGAGUCCGGAAGAGGCGAGUGGAAUUCCUGGUGGAGCGGUGAAAUGCGUUGAUAUGCACAGGAACUCCGGUGGCGAAGGCGGCGAGCUGGACCCUUUCUGACGCUGAGGCGCGAAAGCCAGGGGAGCGAACGGG
rnacentral:rRNA from 1 species